rnacentral:rRNA from 1 species
CAAGUCGAACGGCAGCACGGGAGCAAUCCUGGUGGCGAGUGGCGAACGGGUGAGUAAUAUAUCGGAACGUGCCCAAUCGUGGGGGAUAACGCAGCGAAAGCUGUGCUAAUACCGCAUACGAUCUACGGAUGAAAGCGGGGGACUCAGCAAUGGGCCUCGCGCGAAUGGAGCGGCCGAUAUCAGAUUAGCUAGUUGGUGAGGUAAUGGCUCACCAAGGCGACGAUCCGUAACUGGUCUGAGAGGAUGAUCAGUCACACUGGAACUGAGACACGGUCCAGACUCCUACGGGAGGCAGCAGUGGGGAAUUUUGGACAAUGGGCGCAAGCCUGAUCCAGCCAUGCCGCGUGAGUGAAGAAGGCCUUCGGGUUGUAAAGCUCUUUCAGACGGAAAGAAAUCGGGCGCGUGAAUAGCGUGCCUGGAUGACGGUACUGUCAGAAGAAGCACCGGCUAACUACGUGCCAGCAGCCGCGGUAAU